rnacentral:rRNA from 1 species
CCUACGGGUGGCUGCAGUGGGGAAUCUUGCACAAUGGGCGAAAGCCUGAUGCAGCGACGCCGCGUGAGUGAGGAAGUAUUUCGGUAUGUAAAGCUCUAUCAGCAGGGAAGAACAUGACGGUAACUGACUAUGCAUCCCCGGCCAAUUCCGUCCCAGAAGCCGCGGUCUUACGAAGGGGGCACGGGUUCUCCGGAUUUACUGGGUGUAACGGGGGCGUGGAGGGUUAAUCAAGUCAGAAGUGAAAGCCCAGGGCUCAACCUUGGGACUGCUUUUGAAACUGAGUAGCUAGAGUGCAGGAGAGGAAAGCGGAAUUCCUAGUGUAGCGGUGAAAUGCGUAGAUAUUAGGAGGAACACCAGUGGCGAAGGCGACUUACUGGACUGUAACUGACGUUGAGGCUCGAAAGCGUGGGGAGCAAACAGGAUUAGAUACCCCUGUAGUC